rnacentral:rRNA from 1 species
AGGAUGAACGCUGGCGGCGUGCUUAACACAUGCAAGUCGAACGAUGAACCCACCUGUGGGGGAUUAGUGGCGAACGGGUGAGUAACACGUGAGUAACCUGCCCUUAACUCUGGGAUAAGCCUUGGAAACGGGGUCUAAUACCGGAUAUUUACUUCCUGUCGCAUGGUGGGUUGUGGAAAGAUUUAUUGGUUUUGGAUGGACUCGCGGCCUAUCAGCUUGUUGGUGAGGUAAUGGCUUACCAAGGCGACGACGGGUAGCCGGCCUGAGAGGGUGACCGGCCACACUGGGACUGAGACACGGCCCAGACUCCUACGGGAGGCAGCAGUGGGGAAUAUUGCACAAUGGGCGCAAGCCUGAUGCAGCGACGCCGCGUGAGGGAUGAAGGCCUUCGGGUUGUAAACCUCUUUCAGUAGGGAACAAGGCCGGCUUUUGGUUGGUUGAGGGUACCUGCAGAAGAAGCGCCGGCUAACUACGUGCCAGCAGCCGC